UACGUAGGGGGCAAGCGUUUGUCCGGAUUUAUUGGGCGUAAAGAGCGUGUAGGCGGUUAGGUAGGUCCGUUGUGAAAACUCGAGGCUCAACCUCGAGACGCCGAUGGAAACCAUCUGACUAGAGUCCGGAAGAGGAGAGUGGAAUUCCUGGUGUAGCGGUGAAAUGCGCAGAUAUCAGGAAGAACACCCGUGGCUAAGGCGGCUCUCUAGUACGUGGCUGACGCUGAGACGCGAAAGCGUGGGGAGCGAACAGG
rnacentral:rRNA from 1 species